GAUGAACGCUGGCGGCGUGCCUAAUACAUGCAAGUAGAACGCUGAAGCUUGGUGCUUGCACCGAGCGGAUGAGUUGCGAACGGGUGAGUAACGCGUAGGUAACCUGCCUCUUAGCGGGGGAUAACUAUUGGAAACGAUAGCUAAUACCGCAUAAAAGACGAUAUCGCAUGAUAUUGAUUUGAAAGGUGCAAUUGCAUCACUAAGAGAUGGACCUGCGUUGUAUUAGCUAGUUGGUGAGGUAACGGCUCACCAAGGCAACGAUACAUAGCCGACCUGAGAGGGUGAUCGGCCACACUGGGACUGAGACACGGCCCAGACUCCUACGGGAGGCAGCAGUAGGGAAUCUUCGGCAAUGGGGGCAACCCUGACCGAGCAACGCCGCGUGAGUGAAGGAGGUUUUCGGAUCGUAAAGCUCUGUUGUAAGAGAAGAACGAGUGUGAGAGUGGAAAGUUCACACUGUGACG
rnacentral:rRNA from 1 species